rnacentral:rRNA from 1 species
GAUGAACGCUAGCCACAGGCUUAACACAUGCAAGUCGAGGGGUAACGAGAGGGAAGCUUGCUUUCCUUGUCGACGACCGGCGCACGGGUGAGUAACGCGUACCCAACCUGCCCCCAACUAGGGAAUAACCUUGCGAAAGUAAGACUAAUACCCUAUAAUUUCCUCAGAUGUCAUCUGACGAGGAAUAAAGAUUUAUCGGUUGUGGAUGGGGAUGCGUCUGAUUAGCUUGUUGGCGGGGUAACGGCCCACCAAGGCAACGAUCAGUAGGGGUUCUGAGAGGAAGGUCCCCCACAUUGGAACUGAGACACGGUCCAAACUCCUACGGGAGGCAGCAGUGAGGAAUAUUGGUCAAUGGGCGGAAGCCUGAACCAGCCAAGUAGCGUGCAGGAUGACGGCCCUAUGGGUUGUAAACUGCUUUUAUACAGGAAUAAAGUUAGCCACGUGUGGUUAUUUGUAGGUACUGUAUGAAUAAGGACCGGCUAAUUCCGUGCCAGCAGCCGCGGUAA